CAGGGGCAGGCCCGGACUGGCCAUUUGUGAAUACGGGCAAAUGCCCGUUGGGCCGCUGCCUCUGUAUGGGAAUUGGGCCGCACGGACAGUGUGCUCUUGUGCGCAGGGCUCAGAUGAAGAGAGUCCCCGCAUGUGUGCAGCGCGUGCAGAAAUUUAAUUUAGCAGGACCCGCACUAAAAUUUUCUACCACUAGAGGGCGUGCAGCAGAAGUGAGCCGGAAACUGAAGACCUGCACAGGGAAAACAUUAGCACGUUUGCAGUGCUUUUGAAACGCCCCAUUAGUUCCUGCUGAUGAAGGGAGGGAUAGAAUUUUCUGCUGCUGUUCUGCAUUUCCCCCCUUGCCCCCCCCCCCAACUGUACAGAGAAAGGGCAGCCACUGGCAAAGGACUUUGUUAAAGAUCUACCAGCAUUUCCAAUGUAUAGUUCCUAUAAACGUAACUACCGGGAAGAUUCUCAUGUGUGGAUUACAACUGGAAUUGGCAGGAACCUUGCACUGCAUGACUAUCAGUUCUCCACCUUCCCACUUGACUUCUGUUCUCAUCUCUUCUGGUUUUGACUAAAAUCUGAUCUGAGUCUUGAUACCUGCUUGGAGUCAAUUCUGGCUACCUUGACCUCGUCUUGAUGUCUGUAUCUGAGAUUCUAUACACCCAUCUUCUGUCGUGGGGCCUCAAGAGGGUAUCCUCAUUGACUAAUUCUAUUUUCAGAGGUGCAAAAGGAGCUGACCUCGAUUUACACUAUACUACAAUGGUGGAAGUGGAUGUAAAAAACCCUGCCUGGAUGUCGAAAGACCAGCCCCCCUGCAAAUCCAGAACUACAAAUUCCACAAAGAACUUGGAAAAGGCAACUUUGGCCAGGUGAUGUUAGCAUCGUUUGCCCCAAAGAAAAAGCUUGUGGCAAUUAAGAAGAUUUACAAGAAAAUCGACAAAAACAACUACAAGAAAUCAGUAAAGAAGCUCGGAUCUUGAAGAUGGCCAAAAGUUGCCCCUUUUUAUGCCAUUUACAUGCAGCCUUCCAAUCAGAGGUUCAGGCCUUUCUUGUGCUGGAAUAUGCCUGCGGGAGAUUAUUAGCCAACAUGAUUUCAAAGAGUGGAAAACUACCAACUGAAACAAUCCAGUUCUACACUGCAGAGAUUGUAAUUGGCCUCCAGUUUCUGCACUCAAAUGGCAUCGUGCAUCGUGAUCUGAAGCCUGAUAACAUCUUGGUGGAUAGGAGUGGACACAUUAAAAUCUGCGACUUCGGUUUCAGAUGAAGGGCUGUUCGACAAGAAGAUCAUCUGCGGAUUGGCAGCAACCCCUGGCUACCGGGCCCCAGAGGUGAGCGGGUUGCAGGUUGGGUUGCGGAUAAGGCAGUUGCGGAUCUGGGUCGGUCAGUGGAUCAAAGUGGGUUUUGUUAAUGGAAUAUUAUAAUGCGGGGGCUGACUGGUGGUCAUUAGGUGUGAUCAUCUAUGAAAUGGCCACAGCUAAACAACCAUUUAGCCCAUCUGUCAGUGCUAUGAGGGAGUUUAUGUCAAUCAAAACUCCUCAAUAUCCAAGUUACAUGAGCCAGGAAAUGCAGGACCUCUUGUCAAAGCUUCUGGAGAUGGACAGGAAGCAACGCUUAGGAGUGAAUGGCAACAUCAGGGAGCACCCAUUCUUUGCUACAAUCAAUUGGGAAAAUCUGGAAAAGAUAAGAGUGAAGACACCUUUCCAGCCAAAAAUGCCAUUCACAAGUGAGCUUAGAGUGAUUUCACCAGGAUUGUCCGCUGAUACCUCCAAAAGAGAGAGGGUAGAAGAACUUUCCUACAUGGACCCCACCUGGCAUUGGCAGGACUAAUGCAUUCUCCUGUACUCAUUUGAUCCAACAUCAUUACUGCCCGGAUAGCCAGCGACCAAGCCAACAUACCAUCUAUGGGAAACUAAAGCAAUUAACAUCAGAUCUGCCCCGAUUAUAAAUCUGCAAGUGUCCAAUCACCUACAGCAGCACCCCACUGUAUCCACCAGUUACUUCCACAAACAACUUGAGUCAAAGUGGCAGGUAAGUACCCCAUCUCUACAAGGGCCUGGAUCUUCCUUGACCAUCUAUUGAGCUGAAUUUCAUCUUCAUUCAUCAUCUUCCUUUUUCAUAUUCAUUUUUAAAACCCUAAUUAUAGGAAGCGUGGUAGGUAUAAACUGAGUUUUUAUUUAUUUGAAUUUUAUUUAUGAAUGUGUAAUUUUUCUAAAUUUUUAUAGUAUGUUAUAUAUGAAAAAAAACAAAAAAAACCCCAAAAAAUUAGAUUAGAUUAUAUAGAGAAUAUAUAUAGUGAUGUGUAGAGUCAUAUAAGAGUUUAUAUAAUGUAAACAUUUAGGGUAUGGGUGGGAUAUAUGGGAUGCAUUAUAAGUUGGGGUAAGGAACAUAUACUGUGAUUUUUUUUGUAAUAAGUAUGAAUGGAAAUGGUGUGUGAAUAUAGAGAAUAUAUAUAUAGAGAGAAUAUAUAUUACGUGUGUGUAUAUUUAUAUAUUAAUGUGUAGAGUUAUAUGAGUUUGUAUAAUGUAUAUAUUUAGGGUAUGGUGGGAUAUAUGGGAUACAUUAUAAGUUGGGGUAAGGAAUAUAUACUGUAUGAUUUUUUUAUAAUAAGUAUGAAUGGAAAUGGUGUGUGAAUAUAGAGAAUAUACUGUAUAUAUAGAGAGAGAAUAUAUUGUGAUGUGUAUAUAUGUUAUAUAGUGAUGUGUAGAGUUAUAUAAUAGUUCAUAUGAUGUAUACAUUUAGGGUAUGGGUGGGAUAUAUGGGAUACAUUAUAAGUUGGGGUAAGUAAUAUAUACUGUGUCAUUUUUUGAAUAAGUAUGAAUGGAAAUGGUGUGUGAAUGCAAACAGGGGUCCCGACUGCACCAAUUUACAAGGUGAGCACACCAGUUGGCUGCACAUUGAUUGUAAAUCACUUUUAAAAUGUAAAAGAACCGAUAUGAGGAGGUUGCUAUAUUUUUAAUUUGUUAGGCCCAAUUUGAAAUUAUAAUGCAGUAAAUAUAUGCCCAUAUUACUAAAAAGCCCAAGUGCUAUGAAUUUGUUUAGUGAAUGGUUUAGGGAACUUAUGACUGAGGAGCAAAGUGAUAUUAAUAGACCAGGAAAGCUGUAUGGCCCAAAAUGCUGCCUAGUUACAACCUCCUCCUUUUACACCCAACCCAGAGCCCUAUAGUUAGUAACAAACUAGAACAAAAAUAAUCUCUCAUCCAGGCCUUUUAUAUAAUAAAAGGUUACUGGAAUAGCAUUUGUACAAUGUUGAUCCAGGGACUGGUCCGAUUGCCGUUUUGGAGUCAGGAAGGAAUUUCCCCCCAUCUAAAGCAAAUUGGCGAUGGCUAAAGAUGGGGUUUUUGCCUUCCUCUGGAUCAUCAAGAAGUUAGGUAAAUUUAAUUUGAUGGACACGCUCACCCUCAAUUAAUAUAUAACAGUGUCCUUUGAUUUGACCCAAAUUUUACACAGAGAACAUAAAUCCAAAGUGGAGAGGAUUAAAAUCCCAGCUAAGUAUUAGCUAUAGAAAAAGAGAUAAUAGUGUGUGAAUCAAUAUGUGAGUAUAUCUGUGUGUGUUUAUUAGUGCAAAUAUCCCAAUGGGGAACAUUUGUUCCUUACACCUCUCCCAAAGCAGCUUAUAUAAACUGCUGCCCAGCCCAAUAGGAAACUAUUGCAGCAACUAAUAGGGUGAGCCAUUUGCUGCAAUAGGUGUGUGAAUGAA